CUUGUACACACCGCCCGUCGCUACUACCGAUUGAAUGGCUCGGUGAGGCCUUCGGACUGGCCCAGGGAGGUCGGCAACGACCACCCAGGGCCGGAAAGUUGGUCAAACCCGGUCAUUUAGAGGAAGUAAAAGUCGUAACAAGGUCUCCGUAGGUGAACCUGCGGAGGGAUCAUU
rnacentral:rRNA from 1 species